CACAGGCACACACACACACACACACACACACACACACACACACACACACACACACACACACACACACACACACACACACACACACACACACACACACACACACUCUCUCUCUCUCUCUCUCUCUCUCUCUCUCUCUCUCUCUCUCUCUCUCUCUCUCUCUCUCUCUCUCUCUCUCUCUCUCUCUCUCUCACACACACACACACACACACACACACACACACACACACACACACACACACACACACACACACACACACACACUCUCUCUCUCUCUCUCUCUCUCUCUCUCUCUCUCUCUCUCUCUCUCUCUCUCUCUCUCUCUCUCUCUCUCGCUAUUUCUUAUCAUUAACGUGUUUGUCUAUUGUUGCAGAUUGUGUUGCGUGCAGUGUUACCAGAAGUAGAGUGCAGGGAGUGGCCAGCCGCUAGCCAGACUCAGAGUCAGGUCAGGUGAAGCAGUUAGUCUGGCCUUGACUCUCGCUUAGCACAGCCGCGGCCGCACACCACAGCAAACCCAAGGCUGUGGUCUGUUUGCCUGCGUGACCUUGACGUAUAGAACACUACAGGAGUUUUGCGUGUGUGUCAGUGUUGCCAGCCAAGACCACCAGUGUUACCAGAUGAAAGGGGAGAUGGGUAGAGGGAGGCGCUAAGUGGAUGAAAGCCUCCACCUUCUUUCCCUGUUGCUCCGCCAUCCACGCCCGCCCUCCCACGGCUCUCCACUGACCACCAGGAGGGAACACGAGUCGUCCAGGUCGUCUUAAAAAGGUGUGGAGUGUUGCCGCAGGUGUGGACUGCCGGCGACCUGCGUGACAAAGGAAGGUUUGGAACAAAACAAGAAGCAAGAACAAUUAAGAUGAACACUAGCCACACCACAGAACUGUUACUGCUGGCACCACCACCAUCACCACCACCACCACCACCCUGCCAAGUGGACACCCCAGUGUGAGCGGAGCCAUCAACACCAGCCUGAGGACUAAUUGCUUAUGUACCAGAGGAGUGUGACAGUCUACCAAUACCUUGGAAGGAAGGUGAUGGUGAGGAACAGUGAAGAAAGAUGACGGAGCAGAAACAGGCCCACACCAUCCUGGAAUGUGCUGCAAAUAAUCUUGGUUACCGGCAAAGUAAAGAGAUAAAGAGAUAGAUAGAUACAGAGAUAGAUAAUUAUUAGUAAGAGUGAGAUUAAGAUAGAUAGAUAAUUAUUAUUAAGAGUGUUAGUUAGAUAGAUAUAUACAGAGAUAGAUAAUUAUUAGUAAGAGUGAGAUUAAGAGUGAGAUUAAGAUAGAUAAUUAUUAUUAAGAGUGCUAGAUUAUUAUAUUCUUAUUAUAUUAUUUUAUUUGUGUGUGUGGUGUGUGUGUGUGUGUGUUCUCUUUUCAGAAGUGUGUUUGGAAUGCAAGAAAUAUACAAGACCACAGAAGAUUCUAUAGUGGUGGUGGUGGUAGUAGUAGUAGUAAUAGUAGUAGUAGUAGUAGUAGUAGUACUUUAUCAAUAUACAGGGCA